rnacentral:rRNA from 1 species
GACGAACGCUGGCGGCGUGCCUAAUACAUGCAAGUCGAGCGAGCUUGCCUAGAUGAUUUUAGUGCUUGCACUAAAUGAAACUAGAUACAAGCGAGCGGCGGACGGGUGAGUAACACGUGGGUAACCUGCCCAAGAGGCUGGGAUAACACCUGGAAACAGAUGCUAAUACCGGAUAACAACACUAGACGCAUGUCUAGAGUUUGAAAGAUGGUUCUGCUAUCACUCUUGGAUGGACCUGCGGUACAUUAGCUAGUUGGUAAGGUAACGGCUUACCAAGGCAAUGAUGCAUAGCCGAGUUGAGAGACUGAUCGGCCACAUUGGGACUGAGACACGGCCCAAACUCCUACGGGAGGCAGCAGUAGGGAAUCUUCCACAAUGGACGAAAGUCUGAUGGAGCAACGCCGCGUGAGUGAAGAAGGGUUUCGGCUCGUAAAGCUCUGUUGGUAGUGAAGAAAGAUAGAGGUAGUAACUGGCCUUUAUUUGACGGUAAUUACUUAGAAAGUCACGGCUAACUACGUGCCAGCAGCCGCGGUAAUACGUAGGUGGCAAGCGUUGUCCGGAUUUAUUGGGCGUAAAGCGAGUGCAGGCGGUUCAAUAAGUCUGAUGUGAAAGCCUUCGGCUCAACCGGAGAAUUGCAUCAGAAACUGUUGAACUUGAGUGCAGAAGAGGAGAGUGGAACUCCAUGUGUAGCGGUGGAAUGCGUAGAUAUAUGGAAGAACACCAGUGGCGAAGGCGGCUCUCUGGUCUGCAACUGACGCUGAGGCUCGAAAGCAUGGGUAGCGAACAGG